ensembl:lncRNA
AUUGAAUGCAUGAGAUUUAUCGAGUGUCAGUGCAGUCAGUGGGCUGCAUGUCACCAGAUGCUGUCAAACUGGGGCUAUUGUUCUCAUGAGCUUAGGCCAGUGUAAAUAGAUUGAAUGUGUAUCAUUGUCUCUCUCCACAAGCUGAGGACCUGACCUGACCUGACCAGACCAGAAAAAGAGCUAUAAGGAGAAUGUAACCCUCUAAGAAUUAAUUUAUUCUAUUGAUUUAAAUGCAUUACAUAGGCACACCUUUGCACACAUAUAAGUCCAGAUUCCUCACUUUCCCAAAUAGUAAAUACUGUAACUGCACUUACAUAAAGCAAGCAUAACUGGAAAGCAGAAGACCUAAACUGCUCAAUUUACAGUUGUAUCUAUUUUUGCUGGCUUUCUAAAAAGCAAAGCAAAUCUUUUCAGACUAUGGUCUCGGGUCAUUGAUGUUAUACAAAGAGGUGAGUAUGCACCAAUCAGUGGGCAGUCUGUAGCUGCCAUCUGGUGGGUAAAUGUAAAAAUUACAUAAGGAAAAUAAAUACUUCCAUCUCUCGACCAUGCUUUUUAAAACUGCAUUUGAAAAGAAUAUGUAUGUAUUAUCAAUUUCUUUUAUUUAGGGGUUAGUAACAUUAGGGGUUAGUAACAUUAGGGGUUAGUAACAUUUAGGGGUUAGUACAAGAUAUUCCGAGAGUCAUUAUCUACAUAAGCAAAUUGUCAGGAAUUUAAUUCUCCUAUUUUACCUUUUGCUUCCAGAAAUCAUCAAUUAUUGUGUUCUCCCUCCCUGUCCCUCACGUAACUUAUGCUCUGAAGAAUAGCUCUAAAAAGAUUUACUAUAAUAUGCUCUAAAAAGUAGUUGCAUAUAGAAGAGCAAAAGAUUCUCAUAUGUUCCUCAUCCUUUGUCUAGCAGAACACCAGCUCUGCAGGCACAUCCCUAGAUCCUAGAGAAUCUAAACAGUAUUGUCAGACAAUAACAGUAGGUGUUGAUUGGUUGUGAUGCCCAGGAGGUUCAUAUUGAGAAGGCCAAGAGUACCUCUUGGCCAAGAAGAUGGGAAGAUAUGCAUAUUUUGAGGAAGUCUAAUGACUGAGGUUUAAUAUAGGAUGCAAUUCUUUAAAACUCAGGAUGCAAUUCUAUAAAACUCGUGUAGGAUAGAUUGCUUGCUUUCACUUCCCCAUCAAAACCCUUUCAACUUAGGGCUGUUCCAUUUACGUUUUCAAAAUAGCAUUCAUUCUCCCCAACUUCCCUAUUUCUAUGCUGCCUUUCCAAAUAACUUUGGCUUAUUCCAACAGAAGAACAAGUUGCUAUUGGAAACAUUUAUUUUUAAUCCCUUUCUGUAGGACUGUCUGAAGGAAUCGCCCUGGGGUUCAGAAUUUUGAUAUAUACAUUUUGAUAAAAUACUCAUAUAAAGCCUUCAGUCAAAUAUGUACAGUUACAGUGCCAUAUUUCACAGGUAUCCCUACAUAUGCAUAGCACUGGUCCUGCCUGAGGAUGCAGGUGUGCCCCUAUAACAAAAAUUAAUAAUACAGCGCAUGGAAUCUCACAUAUGUUGCAUAUAUGAAAAUGAAUGUAAUCUUAUUCCAAUGAUCACAUUUAUAGUUUAGGAUGCUAAAUGUACCAAACCUUCACAGCUCCUUCUCAGCAUCCAGAAAUAUCCAUUAAGUUCUCAUCAACUUGCAUAUUUUUAGUUGUCUUUUAGCAACAAAACCUAACGUCUCCAUCAAUUUCACUGACCAUCAUCAGCUUCUGAUGGGGCAUACUGAACUGAUCACCAUAUGUACCUACUGUCAUACAUCUUUCACUUCAGUCUUCCAUGGAGGUGCAGGAAAUGUGUUUGGUUUGCAUUUCUCACAUCUGUGAAGAGAUCUUUUUUCAUGAUAAUGAUAUUCAGCAACUAAAAUAGACAUGAAUGGGACCUGAUCUCUAGUGCCUGCCAUUCACACAGAAAGAAACAAAAAGAUAGACAUGGUAGGUCUCCUCAGAAUCACUGUUUUCAUUUACCUCAUACUUGCAGGUUCAGAGGUAGAUGCAAUUUUAACUGAACCACAAAGGUGUAGGAAUUAUCAUGUUGUCCCUUAACAAGACAAGAUGUAAAGAUAUUUACAGCUGAAGUAAGUAAUCUUGUAGUGAGUGAGGGAUGGAUCCUAAAAGCUGCCAGAAUCUCAUUUCAGUCAACUUAGUUUAAUGCUUGUUUCAAGCUCCACUAGAUGCAUUUUCAACAUAAAAAAGCUCAGCAGAAGAGGGUUUUCCUUACAUUUCUGUGUAGGACAACCAAUGUGACUGAAUUCUUGAAGCGAAUUUCUUUCUUCAAACAAUAUCAAAUUCACUGACUGAACAUGGAAAAACAGAUGUUAGCACUUCCUUUUCACAUAGAGUUUCAGAGAACUGAUGACAUCUCUUUAGAGGUCAGGGCAGGAGAAUGCAUUUUUCCCCUUACACUGCAGGACUUUCACAAGAGAUUUUUUAAAGAGUUGUUUAUUUCUUGCCUUGCCUUUCUUCAGCUUCUGUCUUUAAUCUGAACUCUGUCCUUUGCUCACAUUUUUUUCUACAGCUGCAUAUCCUUUUAUUGCUCUCCCAAUUGCUUUUUUUAUCAGGAGGUUGAGUGCACUUCAAUUUGUCCUUCGCAUAGUGACCACAAAAAGUUCAGGAGUCUGAUUUACUUGUGUAUCAUUCCAAUUUCAUGCCAGUGCAGUUUCUUUUUAAAAAGACUAGUGAGCAAAACUGCUGUGGUUCAGGCCAACACUACUGAUUUGUAUGUAGCACUGAAAAUCAUUCAAGUAUUUAGGUGUCUGUUUGGGGGACAGUUCCCAGGCCACUGGGAUAUUCCUCAAGGAAAGACAUUGCUUGAAAUAUGCAGAAAAAUGGAGGAGAGGAAAAUCCUCCCCAAUUUUUACUGACAGUGGAAAUUAUGAUACAGUAAGUGGAACUUUCUCUGGUAGCAUUUCUUUUUUCUAUAUGCACACAGAGAAUAACUAUAUUUGUCAAAACAAUUUGCCUUUGCAAUAGCAGCAAUUGCCUAUACAAAGCAUUAAUUAGCUAAUAAUCUGAAAGAAGAAUGUAGACAUUAGGAAUAUUACAGUCUGGAUUUGGAAUAUUGUAGUCUUAUGACCAGGAUACUGAGCUGAGAAUUCAGAGAACUUUGUAUCUUCUACAAUGACCUCAGAUAAGUCAGAAAGACUCUGUACUUCAGACUCUGUAAAGACUAAAAGAAGUAUCAUGCAUAAAGUUUUUCAAACAAUCCAGGAAAAAUUGUGCUAAGGCCAAAUAUUCUAAUUUCUCUGUAUAAUAAAAGGAAUAAAAAGAAAUAAAGGAACAUGAAACAUUAAACCACAGAAUUAUCCCAAAUAGGAGGAAAAUUGAAAUAGACCCUGUAAACUUCUUAAGCAAGUACUUAUUUCUUACAUCUGGCCAUAAAAAUCCCACUGAGAAUUAUUAGCCUCUCAUUUCUGAGAAAAUAAAAUUCACAACAGGAAACUGUUAAAAAAAUAAGCUUCAUAUUUUGCAUUACGAUGUAAUCACACAACAAACACAAAUGUCCAUAACAGCAGUGCCUAUUUUUAACUUGUUUUUAAAAGUUGAAGUCACUAUUGAAGUGUUUUCCUGCUUCUGUCUACAUAUACUAAAUCUCUUCCAGCUGCAACAGAAAAUUUAAAAGAAUAAGCAGCUAGAAGCAGACAAAUAGCCAAAAUGCAUACAACAAUGAUAAUCACAGGAACAAAACUAUUCUGUAAAAUUCCAAAAGUACAUGCUGGCUAACUGUGGCUCACCGUCAAUAAGGAAGGUUAUUUUAAUAGGCACUAAAAUUUAAGUUUGUGCAAAUAAGAAAUAAGCAGAAACAUGAAAAAAAAAAAAAAAAAAAAAAAA